GACCUCGUCCGGAGGAGGAGAGACGGGCGGAGUUUGGUCUAGCGAGCGCUGCUGGUUUGCCCGGGAAUCAGGCGCCCCCUAGUGUGGAGUGAGCAGGCCGACGGUUUCUCUGGUGCUGCGACAGUCGUCUUGUGACCCCGCGCUGGGACGCUCCGCCAGGAGCUGGCUGGGAGGGUGAGUAGCUGAGGGGAGAGAGCCUGGCAGUGUUCAGCCUUCAGGCAGGCGGACCCGCUCUUCCUGAGGCGCGGGGCGUCUGACACGCUUCUCCUGAUUUGCCUCAGAGACCAAAGAGGGAAUUCAAUUUGGAAAUUGCAAGGAUUUGGCACCAAAAGUGGGAGAGCAAAUUGACAAAUGGAAAGCUUGGUCAGAAUAUACUGUCUUGAAAAGUCAUCUGCACAGUGAAAAAUUGCCAUCUGUAUGUCCAUUGGGUGGAUGCAAGUUGGUACUGUAGUUGAUUGUGUUUCCUUGACAAUAAAAAAGUCCUCAAAUGA